CCUACGGGUGGCAGCAGUGAGGAAUAUUGGUCAAUGGACGCAAGUCUGAACCAGCCAUGCCGCGUGCAGGAAGACGGCUCUAUGAGUUGUAAACUGCUUUUGUACGAGGGUAAACGCAGAUACGCGUAUCUGUCUGAAAGUAUCGUACGAAUAAGGAUCGGCUAACUCCGUGCCAGCAGCCGCGGUAAUACGGAGGAUUCAAGCGUUAUCCGGAUUUAUUGGGUUUAAAGGGUGCGUAGGCGGUCGGAUAAGUUAGAGGUGAAAUCCCGAGGCUCAACUUCGGAAUUGCCUCUGAUACUGUUCGUCUAGAGAGUAGUUGCGGUAGGCGGAAUGUAUGGUGUAGCGGUGAAAUGCUUAGAGAUCAUACAGAACACCGAGUGCGAAGGCAGCUUACCAAGCUACUUCUGACGUUGAGGCACGAAAGCGUGGGGAGCAAACAGGAUUAGAUACCCCUGUAGUC
rnacentral:rRNA from 1 species